rnacentral:lncRNA from 1 species
GACCCCAGUUAUUCCAGCUGUUAAAUGGAGUGGAUCAAAAGGCUGAUUAAAUGUAACGGAUUCCAAAGAAUGGCUGGCACAUAGAUGGAUACCAUUCAAGCCCAAGGAAAACCAAUGCUUCUUUUCAUCUAUGGACUCAAGUCUCAGAAAGCAGAGAAGUGAGUGUACCAAGUGCAACAAACGUUUGAGCAUUGUUCUGCUGCCAAUAUUGAAGACAGCCACUGCUUUGAAGUGUGGGGAGGAGAGCUAGAGCAUAUUUGCCUGCCACAGUUAGUUUUGUGUUUCCAUGGAAUUUGAGCAAAACUGAUGCACUUGUCUCCCAGGAUUAAUCCAUACAAGUCACCUCUAAAAUUAUCUUUUCCCAUUCGUUGACUGAGCAAAAUGGACUUCAAGGACCUAAAGGAGGUUAAAUACCACAAGAUGGAGGAGCUUGAGUCUCUGAAUCAUUGUGUGUGAAGUCAUCUGCCAAUUACAUAAAUUGAAUUCUUGGAACUCCGGAGUUUCAACUACCAGAGACUGAAGGCAGGAGAGAAAAACUAAGACAAAUGACUUCAAAGCCUUUCUGAAAUGCCACAGAGGGUCAGGAUUACAAUCUGCCUAUUCUGAUUCUUCUACUAUGGGAAAAAAUCUUUUUCAGAAUUGAUGUAAAGCCUCUGUUAAUACUUUUCCUGUUAACAACCUAACUAUUCAACUGCUGAAUAAAAACCAUUAGGACAACUAAAGAAACUGAGAGAUUUUGGCAAGAAAUAGUCAUUCCAAUAUCAAUGACUACGGAGGAAAUGCAAUUACUUUUCUUUGCUUAAGUUUUCCAGGGCCUUUCUCUGUUGCCCAGGCUGGAGUGCAGUGAGGCAAUCUUGGCUCACCACAAUCUCUCCCUCCUGGAUUCAAGCAAUUCUCCUGCCUCAGCCUCCCGAGUAGCUGGGAUUACAGGCAUGCACCACUACACCCGGAUAAUUUUUGUAUUUUUAGUAGAGAUGGGGUUUUACCAUGUUGGCCAGGCUGGUCUUGAACUCCUGACCUCGUGAUCAGCCUGCCUCGGCCUCCUAAAGUGCUGGGAUUACAUGCAUGAGCCACUGUGCCCUGCCAACUUGUUAAAUUUUUAAUCAUUCUGCUCACCUUUUGCAACCUUACUGACUUUUGUGUCUACCUUAUCUAGCAGUGGCUGAAAUUUCCUUCUAUGAUUAUAGAUUUGUCUGUUAUUUCUUAUAGAUUUCUCAAUAUUGCUUGUAUUAUUAUUUUAAGUUAAUACCAUUAGGCAUAAAAAUUCAAAAUUGUUAUCGCU